AUAUAUAUAUAUAUAUAUAUGUAACACUCUCAAACGUGUCCUGUCCCCCAAACGUGUCCGAUUCCCCCAAACGUGUCUAUUCUCCCGAAAUGUGUCCGUAAUAUCCAACAUUCCCCAAACGUGUCCGAUUUUAUAACCCCCAAACGUGUCCGAUAAUUGUUAUUCGCCAAAACGUGUCCACUAUUAAACGCCAGGACGUCUCACGUCUUUUAGCGCUAAUACAUGAAUAAAAUCAAUAACGUUUACGGCAAUUCUAUAAUGGGGGCACAGUUGAUGAAGUGGUCAUUUAUUAGUUUUAGUUGGUUCAAUGCCGGUUGUUAUUGCAAAUUUAACCUGUAACAUCUAAAUCAACUUUUGACUGAAAAGCUUAUUGAUAUUCCAGUUGCAAGUAUUAUGCUCGUUUAGAGCGCACAUACAUGUACAAACAAUUCUAGUUCAGAUGAAUAAAUCGUUUACUAUGUAAUUAUUCUGUACUAAUAAACUCCGAUGAUGCCUUUUAUAUUACAGCUAAUUUCCUAAUGCAUGUAGAACAAAACUUUGGUUAGCUUGCUUGCUUGGUUUUUAUAUUGUAGAAUCCAUAGGAUAACACCCAAUUAAAUUCAAAUACAAUAUAUUCAGGUUGAACAAUGCCUAUAUAUAUUGUUUAAAGAUUCCAAUCUUAUUUACAAAACUUGUAUUAUCAAUUAUACAAACAAUGCAAGCAAGCCUAACAACGUUUUACUUUGCAAGCAUUAGGAAAUCAGCUGUAAUCCGCGAAUACUGCACGGCGUGCUUUUAAAAGGAUUGCCUUCCUUUUUUCAACAGUUCUGAUAUUUUAUUAUCAUACCGGGGAUUUAGGAUUGGGCCUAAAUUUGUUUACGAUUAUUCGGGAUUAACAUUAGUUAAAUUUAAAAAUCUUAAGAGCCAGUAAAGACCGAAACUUUUUAACUUCACUAAGAAACUAUUUGAUUCUCUAAAAAAAUAGAAAAAAAAACUCUUAAAAUUAUAAACUGGUAGUAAGGUUUCACAUUAUGAACUUUUGGUUUCGAGCAUCACUUAAAUACACGCAAACAAGAGACAUUACGUCCAGUGGCAAAUAUUGCAUGCAUGGAUAGGACGACAGCAUACUUUGGAUAAGUUAUAUUAUGACAUGCGGAAGAAUAUUUGCCGGAACUCUUGGAUUGUACCUUAAUUAUUCCGGGAAUUCGGGAUUAUGCCUGAAUGUGUACAGUUAUAAGAAUUUACGCUUUACGGUUAUUAGGAAUUUACACUAAUCGUAACUAGGAAUUAAAUUAUAUUUUUUUGGAGCGGAAAAAGACAGUUUUAUUUUUACGGAAUAUCAGUAUAACAAUCUUUUAUUUCCCUUUAUAUUAUAGGACAAGUUUGGGGAAUUGAGCACGUUUGAAGGAUUGGGCACGUUUGGGUGUUAUUAAAAAUAUGGACACGUUUAGGCGUUUGCAUAAUACAAAUGACACGCUUUGACGCCCUAUUUACAACUAGACAUGUUUUGCAUUUCAGUGACGUCGAUGUGGACACGUUUGGGGGUAUCGGACACGUUUGGGGGGAAGGACACGUUUUUGAGUGUUACAUAUAU
rnacentral:lncRNA from 1 species